CGGAUGAACGCUAGCGGCAGGCCUAACACAUGCAAGUCGAGGGGUAGAACACUUCGGUGUUUGAGACCCGGCGCACGGGUGCGUAACGCGUAUGCAAUCUACCUUGUACAGGGAAUAGCCCAGGAAAAUUUUGGAUUAAUGACCCCAUAGUAUAUAACCUUCGCAUGUUGGUUAUAUUAAAGUUCCAACGGUACAAGAUGAGCAUGCGUCCCAUUAGUUAGUUGGUAAGGUAACGGCUUACCAAGACGAUGAUCGGGUAGGGGUCCUGAGAGGGAGAUCCCCCACACUGGUACUGAGACACGGACCAGACUCCUACGGGAGGCAGCAGUGAGGAAUAUUGGUCAAUGGUCGCAAGACUGAACCAGCCAUGCCGCGUGCAGGAAGACGGUCCUAUGGAUUGUAAACUGCUUUAGUGCGGGAGCAAUAAGGUCCACGAGUGGACCGAUGAGAGUACCGCAAGAAUAAGCAUCGGCUAACUCCGUG
rnacentral:rRNA from 1 species